CCUGGUUGAUCCUGCCAGUAGCAUAUGCUUGUCUCAAAGAUUAAGCCAUGCAGGUCUAAGUACACACAGCAGGUACAGUGAAACUGCGAAUGGCUCAUUAAAUGAGUUAUGGUCCCUUUGAUCGCUCCACCCAGUACUUGGAUAACUGUGGCAAUUCCAGACCUAAUACAUGAAAACGGGCGCCGACCUCCCCCCCAGGGGGCGGGGACGCGUGCGUUUAUCAGAUCCAAAACCCAUCCGAGGUCAGGCUCCUUUAGUGACUCUCGAUAACCUCGGGCCGAUCGCGCGCUCUCUGCGGCGGCGACGAUUCUUUUGAAUGUCUGCCCUAUUAACUUUCGAUGGUACUUUAGGCGCCUACCAUGGUGACCACGGGUAACGGGGAAUCAGGGUUCGAUUCUGGAGAGGGAGCCUGAGAAACGGCUACCACAUCCAAGGAAAGGCAGCAAGCGCACAAAUUACCCAUUUCCGACUCGGAGAGGUAGUGACGAAAAAUAACAAUACAGGUCUCUUUCGAGGCCCUGUAAUUGGAAUGAGCGUAUCCUAAACCCAUGGGCGAGGACCCAUUGCAGGGCAAGUCUGGUGCCAGCAGCCGCGGUAAUUCCAGCUCCAAUAGCGUAUAUUAAAGUUGCUGCAGUUAAAAAGCUCAUAGUUGGAUCUCGGGAAUGGGCUGGCGGUCUGCAAGGUGAGCCACCGCCUGUCCCGGACCCUGCCUCCCAGCGCCCCCCGGAUGCCCUUAACUGGGUGCCCGGAGCGUUUACUUUGAAAAAAUUAGAGUGUUCAAAGCAGGCUGCCCGUCGCCGCUGAAUACCACAGAUAGGAAUAAUGGAAUAGGACUCCGGUUCUAUUUUGUGGGUUUUUGGAACCCGAGGCCAUGAUUAAGAGGGACGGCCGGGGGCAUUCGUAUUGCGCCGCUAGAGGUGAAAUUGGCUUAUUGAUGUCUUGAAACUGCUUGAGUGUCAUCUUGGCGUAGUGGACUGUCAAUCUAAAUUGAAAUUGAUCUGUGGAAGCAGGGACUUUUAUUUUUAGAGCCAUUCAAAUUCACAGACAGAAGAGGUGGAAUAUGAGAUUUGGAGUGCUUUUAUUAUGUAAUUAAACAUCAGAUUGUCUCGAAACUCCUUGAGUGUCAUCAUCGGGUAGUGGACUGUCAAUCUGAAUUAAACUUUUUCUGUGGUAACAGGGAGUUUACUUUUUAGAGCUAUCCAAAAUCACAGACAGAAGAGGUAGAAUAUGAGAUUUGGAGCGCCUUUAUUAUGUAAUUCAAAAUCAGAUUGUCUUGAAACUACUUGAGUGUCAUCAUGGGGUAGUGGACUGUCAAUCUGAAUUAAAAUUGUUCUGUGGAAGCAGGGAGUUUUAUUUUUAAAGCUAUCCAAAAUCACAGACAGAAGAGGGGGAAUAUGAGAUUUGGAGUGCUUUUAUUAUGUAAUUCAACAUCAGAUUGUCUUGAAACUGCUUGAGUGUCAUCAUGGGGUAGUGGACUGUCAAUCUGAGUUGAAAUUGUUCUGUGGAAGCAGGGAGUUUCCUUUUGAAAGCCAUCCAAAUUCACAGACAGAAGACGUGGAAUAUGAGAUUUGGCGUGCUUUUACUUUGUAAUUCAACAUCAGAUUGUCUUGAAACUGCUUGAGUGUCAUCUUGGGGUAGUGGACUGUCAAUCUAAAUUAAAAUUGUUCUGUGGAAAUGGAGUUUUAUUUUUAAAGCUAUCCAAAAUCAGACAGAAGAGGUGGAAUAUGAGAUUUGGAGUGCUUUUAUUAUGUAA
rnacentral:rRNA from 1 species